AAGCACAGACUGUUGUAAAUUAGUUAGUGGCAAUAUAUAAAUAUAAAAGAAAAUUAGGAGAUUCUUUUAAACAAAUUGUUUCCAGAAUACUUUGAACACUUGUAUAUAAACAAAUAUUUUCUCAAUGCAAAUUCAUUCAGCUUAUUUCUACAAGAUAAUAGCUAUUUGUUCUUGGUGUCAAAGCACAACCUAUGCUGAUAAGUUUUUUCGCCCUUUGCUUCAAAUUUGAGCAGAAUUUCUCUCAGAUUUAUUUUUCUUUUACCCUUUCAAAUAUUGCUUUGCUCAUUUUUUUUUUCUUCUUAAUAUGGUUGAACUUGAUAACCGAUCUGCACCAACCCAAAAUGCUGCAACUAAAGAUGGUAAUCUCCAUCUUCAAAACUCAGAUAACCCUAGAAUGGUGCUGGUUAGUGCUCCCUUGACUGGGAAGAAUUACCUAUCAUGGAGUAGGUCCAUGACAAUUGCAUUAAGAGCUAAGGACAAGCUUGGCUUUGUUGAUGGAAGCUAUAAAAUGCCUGCUGCUGGAUCUACAACAUUAGACAAAUGGAAAAAGGUGGACAACAUGGUAACUUCAUGGAUUCUAAAUUCACUCUCAAAAGAGCUAGUGGAUGCCUUCAUCUAUGCAUCCUUUUCCAAAGAUCUCUGGCAAGAAAUUAAGAAGAGAUUUGGAGAAAGUAAUGGCCCUCUUCUCUAUCAGCUCAAGCAAGAGAUAAGUAAUCUAACUCAAUCAACUACCUCUGUUGUGGUGCAUUUUACUAAACUUAAAAGGCUUUGGGAUGAAUUAGCCUAUCUUAAACCUUUGCCUGUGUGUGAAUGUGGAGCAUCAAAGCUAAUAGAUGAGAUUAAUGAUGAAGACAAGCUUAUUAAAUUUUUUAUGGGGUUGAAUGAAUCAUAUGAGCAUGUAAGAAAUCAGAUCCUUCUAACGGAUCCAUUGCCCAGUGUAAACAGAGCGUAUUCCAUGGUGUUAAAAGUGAAUACACAGAAAGAAUUUCAUGAAAAUACUAUUGAUAUUUAUAACUCUGUUAUGGCAGUAAAGAAUCAGUUCUAGAAAGAGAAAAUUUAGGGCAAGAAGAAGGAAUUUGGAAAGAAAGAGUCUAGAACUUGUGAUUACUACAACGAAAGUGCACACACAAGGGACACAUGUUUCAAAUUACAUGGAUAUACUGAAUGGUUCUCUGAAUACAGAUAAAAGAAAGGGAAAGGGAAGAACACCAUGGCAGCAAAUGUGUUUGAUAAUGCACCUGAGAAUAAGGGAAAAGCAAAUAGCAAGAAUGAAGUGACACAUGUUGAUUGGGCAAGUAUGAUAUAACAUGAAAUAGCUAAAUAUAUGCAGAAUUAGAAUCCUAUGGUUUAUGAGGCUAGUUGUGUCAACUUCACUGGGUUUGCAGGUAAGGACUUUAGUGGCUACUCCUCGAGCAGUAGUGGUAAGAGUAAAGGUACAUGGAUUGUAGAUUCAGGUGCCUCAACUCAUGUGUCAUGAUUUUACUCUUUCUCAUAACCUAUCAAAAUUAAAUAACCAUAGUAUAAUUACACUACUAGAUGGGAACUACCAAACCUGUUUUAUAUGGUGGAACCACAAAUACUCACCCCAAACUUCAUUUACACAACACACUAUACAUUCCUAGCUUUAAUCACAAUCUUCUAUCAGUGAGUGCCCUUGCUAAAUCCUCUUGUAUAAUUGUUAAAUUCUUUUCUGACCACUGUUUCUUGCAGGGCCAAGUGACUAAGGAGGUGGUAGCAAAAGGAGAAAUGUUAGGAGGUUUAUAUAUAAUAGGUAAUAAAUCACUCAAUAGUGGUUGUGGUAUCAAAUGCAUCUCUGACUUUCCAAAAAGUAGUAGUACUGCUACUUCUUAUGAACCUAUUACCAAAAUGAAUGAAGCCUAUCCAAUCUCUAUUGCACCUAAUUCUUAUGAAUUAUGGCACUUUAGACUUGGGCAUAUUUCCAGCACAAAACUGUCAUUCAUUCCCACAAUUAAAAUCAAGAAUGAUGAUCAAUAAGUAUGUGAGAUAUGUCCACUUACCAAACAACAGAGAUUAAGUUUUCAAAAGAGUAAGAUUACAAGCAAGUCAAUUUUUGAACUCAUUCACAUUGAUUUAUGAGGUCCAUACCUAGUGCAUUUAAUUUCUCAAACAAAAUAUGUUCUCACCAUAAUUGAUGAUUUUUCAAGAGUUAUCUGGACUUAUCUUAUACGUGACAAAACCAGAGUUUAUCAUACACUUCUUGAAUUUUUU
rnacentral:misc_RNA from 1 species